rnacentral:tRNA from 1 species
GGAUAAAAUUUGAUUAGAUUGCACCUAAUUAGAGCUUUUAGCUUUAUCUA